rnacentral:rRNA from 1 species
AUUGAACGCUGGCGGCAGGCCUAACACAUGCAAGUCGAGCGGAGCGGCGGACGGGCGGGUAAUGCCUAGGAAUCUGCCUGGUAGAGGGGGAUAACGUCCGGAAGGGGGAGCUAAUACCGCAUACUAUCAGAUGAGCCUAGGAUGGAUUAGCUAGUUGGUGGGGUAAAGGCCUACCAAGGCGACGAUCCGUAACUGGUCUGAGAGGAUGAUCAGCCACACUGGAACUGAGACACGGUCCAGACUCCUACGGGAGGCAGCAGUGGGGAAUAUUCGACAAUGGGCGAAAGCCUGAUCCAGCCAUGCCGCGUGUGUGAAGAAGGUCUUCGGAUUGUAAAGCACUUUAAGUAGGGAGGCGUUACCAACAGAAUAAGCACCGGCUAACUUCGUGCCAGCCGCCGCGGUAAUUC